rnacentral:rRNA from 1 species
CCUACGGGAGGCAGCAGUGGGGAAUAUUGGACAAUGGGCGAAAGCCUGAUCCAGCAAUGCCGCGUGAGUGAUGAAGGCCUUAGGGUUGUAAAGCUCUUUUACCAGGGAUGAUAAUGACAGUACCUGGAGAAUAAGCUCCGGCUAACUCCGUGCCAGCAGCCGCGGUAAUACGGAGGGAGCUAGCGUUGUUCGGAAUUACUGGGCGUAAAGCGUACGUAGGCGGUUAUUCAAGUCAGAGGUGAAAGCCCGGGGCUCAACCCCGGAACUGCCUUUGAAACUAGAUAGCUAGAAUCUUGGAGAGGUUAGUGGAAUUCCGAGUGUAGAGGUGAAAUUCGUAGAUAUUCGGAAGAACACCAGUGGCGAAGGCGACUAACUGGACAAGUAUUGACGCUGAGGUACGAAAGCGUGGGGAGCAAACAGGAUUAGAUACCCUGGUAGUCCACGCCGUAAACGAUGAUAACUAGUUGUUCGGGCACUUGGUGCCUGAGUGACGCAGCUAACGCAUUAAGUUAUCCGCCUGGGGAGUACGGUCGCAAGNUUAAAACUCAAAGGAAUUGACGGCUGAGAGNGCGAGACGACACGAGGAGAG